rnacentral:lncRNA from 1 species
UUUACCAGUUAGAAAUGCAUAUCACUUAUCAAUAUAAAAGGGGGAAUAACUCUCAUAUGGAGUCUCCGGAUAGCUUCGGUCAAAAUGAAACAGAUCAUCCUGAGGAUAUAACGAGCAAUUUGGAAAAAUAAAUUUGUCGGUUUCUUUUACGGUUGCGAAGCCUUAGUGGCCACAAGAAAAACAGUGUUCGGGGAGAUAACUCUUACAAGGUAAAGUUUUUUGGUUACGCAGGUUGUCAGUUUUUAGAAGCGCAUAACUGUUCGAUAUCAUAUACCAAUAUCUAAGCGACAUCUUGUGAAACAAAAAAACAGCGAAGGAAAAAAAAGUUAGGCGGAAGAAAAAAAUAAAAAUAAUUAAAAACCAAUUGUUCAAAGAACAAUUGAAGGUCUUUCAACCAAUAAGGAUCUAUUUAUGAUAUGAAAAUAUUAAAAUUCAGUUUGAAAAUGUCAGUUCCUAUGGCUUAAUGAUGUAUAAAUAUGAAUUUUAAAGCAAAGGUCAAAAUCUAGAACGUCCAAUUAACCUAUGACCUUGACCUCAAUUUCAAGGUCAUAGACUAAACAUCUCAAAUAAAAAGACACUAGUUCCUUAAUAUGUAUGGUUCAUGAGUAAAAUCACUUUACGCAUAAUUCUUAAUAUAAGAGGGGCGAAAACUCCCUUUUUAUUGUUUACGCACCCUCGCAACCAAAAUUUAUAAGUUACGACAUGUCGCAACUAACAAUUUAGUAAAAAAAAAUUGUCGAUAUCUUAUAAGGUUAAUGAAAAAAGGUGAAAAUAAGCCAAAAUCAAAAUUAAGAAUUUGACCUUGACCUUUGACCUUGACCUAAUUUUCAUUUUUUUGGACCAAGGAUCUUAAAUCAAAAGACCCUAGGUCUCUAUCACUUAUAGGUUUACCAGUUAGAAAUGCAUAUCACUUAUAUCAUAUAUAAAAGGGGGGAUAACUCUCAUAUGGAGUCUCCGGAUAGCUUCCGUUGAAAUGAAACAGAACAUCCUAAGGAUAUAACGAGCAAUUUGGAAAAAUAAAUUUGUCGGUUUCUUAUACGGUUGCGAAGCCUAGUAGUGGCCACAAGAAAAAAACAGUGUUUGGGGAGAUAACUCUUACAAGGUAAAGGUUUUUGUUACGCGGUGUCAGUUUCAGAAGCGCAUUAACUGUUCGAUAUCAUAUACCAAAUAUCUAAGCGACAUCUUGUGAAACAAAAAAACAGCGAAGGAAAAAAAAGUUGGCGGAAGAAAAAAAAAAAAUAAUAAUAAUAAUAAUAAUUAAAAACCAAUUGUUCAAAGAACAAUUGAAGGUCUUUCAACCAAUAAGGAUCUAUUUAGAUAUGAAAAUAUUAAAAUUCAGUUGAAAAUGUCAGUUCCUAUGGCUUAAUGAUGUAUAAAUAUGAAUUUUAAGCAAAGGUCAAAAUCUAGAACGUCCAAUUUAACCUAUGACCUUGACCUCAAUUUCAAGGUCAUAGACUAAACAUCUCAAAUAAAAAGACACUAGUUCCUUAAUAUGUAUGGUUCAUGAGUAAAAUCACUUUACGCAUAAUUCUUAAUAUAAGAGGGGCGAAAACUCCCUUUUAUUGUUUACGCACCCUCGCAACCAAAAUUUAUAAGUUACGACAUGUCGCAACUAACAAUUUAGUAAAAAAAAUUGUCGAUAUCUUAUAAGGUUAAUGAAAAAAGGUGAAAAUAAGCCAAAAUCAAAAUUUAAGAAUUUGACCUUGACCUUUGACCUUGACCUAAUUUUCAUUUUUUUGGACCAAGGAUCUUAAAUCAAAAGACCCUAGGUCUCUAUCACUUAUAGUUUACCAGUUAGAAAUGCAUAUCACUUAUAUCAUAUAUAAAAGGGGGGAUAACUCUCAUAUGGAGUCUCCGGAUAGCUUCGUUGAAAUGAAACAGAACAUCCUAAGGAUAUAACGAGCAAUUUGGAAAAAUAAAUUUGUCGGUUUCUUAUACGGUUGCGAAGGAGUAGUGGCCACAAGAAAAACAGUGUUUGGGGAGAUAACUCUUACAAGGUAAAGGUUUUUUGUUACGCGGUGUCAGUUUUCAGAAGCGCAUUAACUGUUCGAUAUCAUAUACCAAAUAUCUAAGCGACAUCUUUUGAAACAAAAAAACAGCGAAGGAAAAAAAAGUUGGCGGAAGAAAAAAAAAAAAAUAAUAAUAAUAAUAAUUAAAAACCAAUUGUUCAAAGAACAAUUGAAGGUCUUUCAACCAAAAAGGAUCUAUUUUGAUAUGAAAAUAUUAAAAUUCAGUUGAAAAUGUCAGUUCCUAUGGCUUUAAUGAUGUAUAAAUAUGAAUUUUAAGCAAAGGUCAAAAUCUAGAACGUCCAAUUAACCUAUGACCUUGACCUCAAUUUCAAGGUCAUAGACUA